UACGUAGGGUUCGAGCGUUGUCCGGAAUUACUGGGCGUAAAGAGCUCGUAGGUGGUUCGGUGCGUUGGUGGUGAAAACUCACAGCUCAACUGUGGGCGUGCGGGCGAUACGGGCAGACUUGAGUACUGCAGGGGAGACUGGAAUUCCUGGUGUAGCGGUGGAAUGCGCAGAUAUCAGGAGGAACACCGGUGGCGAAGGCGGGUCUCUGGGCAGUAACUGACGCUGAGGAGCGAAAGCGUGGGGAGCGAACAGG
rnacentral:rRNA from 1 species